GGUCCAGUAGCAUAGUGGUUAAUGCACCAGAAUAAAUUCAAAGGUAUUCCAUGAACAGUUAUUCUGAGCACCCUUGUUCGACUCAAGGCUGGACCA